GCCUCCGGCUCUGAUCGCCCAGAGGGCGCACGGGGUUUGGUGCAGCCUCUGAUGGGCACGAGGCGGCCGCACGGGAUGAGCACAGUGGGCGUCCCUUCCCCAUGGCCAGGACUCCAGGCUGGAAUGUGGAGGUUCCCGAAACCCACACUGGAAGGCACCCCAUGGAAGCCAGGAGCAACGGCCAGGCUCAGAUAGAACAUUUAGAAAGAACUCUGGCGGGCAACCGUGGGUGGCAGAGUCACAGCUAAUUCACAAUUUACAGCCAAGACUGUCCCUGAUCCAGUCUAGAGAGAACCUGUUAAGGAAAAAUUAUCCUGGUGCUUAUCGUAAUGGCAAGGAAGACUUCAUUAUGGACUCCCGCAGUGAGGGAGAGACGGGCUCUAUGUUGGGUGCAGCAGGACAAGGGGGGUUCACAGCCGAGAAGUGAGGGGGUCCGUGGCUGGAAAAUCACCAGG
rnacentral:lncRNA from 1 species